rnacentral:rRNA from 1 species
AGCUCCAAUAGCGUAUAUUAAAGUUGUUGCAGUUAAAAAGCUCGUAGUUGGAUUUCUGAAGAGAUGCCAAUGUCCGCCCUCGUGCGUGUGCAGCGGCGUCUUUUCAUCCUUCUGUUAACGCCUCUUGGCAUUCAUUUGCUGGUGGCGGGCUCAGAUAUUUUACCUUGAGAAAAUUAGAGUGUUUCAGGCAGGCUAGGCCGGAAUACAUUAGCAUGGAAUAAUGGAAUAGGACUUCGGUCUCUUUGUUGGUUUGAGGGACUGCAGUAAUGAUUAAUAGGGAUAGUUGGGGGCAUUAGUAUUUAAUAGUCAGAGGUGGAAUUCUCGGAUUUGUUAAAGACUAACUUAUGCGAAAGCAUUUGCCAAGGAUGUUUUCA